rnacentral:rRNA from 1 species
ACUCCUACGGAAGGCAGCAGUGGGGAAUUUUGGACAAUGGGCGCAAGCCUGAUCCAGCCAUGCCGCGUGAGUGAAGAAGGCCUUCGGGUUGUAAAGCUCUUUCGGCCGGGAAGAAAUCGUGGUCUCUAACAUAGGCCAUGGAUGACGGUACCGGACUAAGAAGCACCGGCUAACUACGUGCCAGCAGCCGCGGUAAU